UACGGGGGGAGCAAGCGUUGUUCGGAUUUACUGGGCGUAAAGGGCGCGUAGGCGGCCAGCGCAAGUCAGUUGUGAAAUCUCCGAGCUUAACUCGGAAAGGUCAACUGAUACUGCGCGGCUAGAGUGCAGAAGGGGCAACUGGAAUUCUCGGUGUAGCGGUGAAAUGCGUAGAUAUCGAGAGGAACACCUGCGGCGAAAGCGGGUUGCUGGGCUGACACUGACGCUGAUGCGCGAAAGCCAGGGGAGCGAACGGG
rnacentral:rRNA from 1 species